ACAUAUACCACUGGCUCACAGCGUCUAGGGUACCAAGCCACCCAUUCUAUGCACAUUAUUUAAUGCAGUCUUUAUCAUCACUCCAUGAAGCAGAUGCCACUCUGGUUCGAGACCAGCCUGGCCAA